rnacentral:lncRNA from 1 species
UUUAAUCAAAACAAUCGUCCCGCGGUGUACCGCGGGUUAAAACCUAGUUUUUAUAUUAAAAGAAAAAACAGGUACAUCAAAUUAGAUACAACAAAUCUAAAAAAAAAAAAUCGAAUAAUAUUAAAAUCUAAAACGAUUUUGGAGCAAAUGGCAAAUGUAGCCAAUACCGAAGACCAAUCGUUAGCUGCAAUAAAACAAUUCAAUCUGUAGCCAUGUACAACUCAAGAAGAGUGGCUCAGAUUACAAGCUAAGUUAUUUAUUUUACAAGAACACUAUGAAAUGUGAGAUUAUUUACAAAGUGUUUAAGGGAAAAAAAAAGUAUCAUCAGAGCUCAGGUAUAUGUAUUAGUCAUCAUAUGAAACAUGAGGGCUGGUGACACAACCUGGUGCAUUAGGAUCCUCUGCUCCGCAACAAUCGUAGAACUUGGCUGCAUAAGGUGGAUCUUCUGGUUUCAAUGCAUAGUACCUUCAUUUAUUGACAGAAACCAAGUUUUAGUUUGUUUAAUUCUUUGUAAAAAUACAAAAGUAAUCUAACAGAUGCAUCAUAUGCUAGUCGAUUCUUCACGUAUGAGCCAUGGUUUGAAAUGAAUAUAUUCUUUUACUUCACCUUAAAAGUAGACUUGAAAUAACGAAUCUCAAGAACCAAAACUAAGAAACAAUGACCACCAGAAACAAACUCAUUAACAGUACAUAACAAAGAUCUCAUCAAACGAUAGUUAGCAUUUGCUAAAAUACGUGGAACAGCAAGAACCACAAACCGAGGAUGUAAGUAAAUAACAAAGGAGCAAGGAGAAUGGAACACACAAAUACGUUCUGCCCCAGUCCACAGGUUCUUAAUAAAGAUCAAUAAGGAACAGAGAAUUAGAUAAUACCCUCUAACUUGUAUCUUCUAUGGCUUUAGCUUUAUCUCAAGAACCGGCGAGAAUUAAUAAAUAUGCCCAAACUAAGAACAAUGAACACCAAAAACAAACUCAUUCACUGCACAUAAUAAGAUCUCGUCAAAUGAUAGUUAGCAUUUGCUAUGUCGGUACUAUAAUACAUGGAAAAGCGAGAACCACAAGGAACAAGGAGAACAGAACACACUAAUACGUUCUGCGUUAGUCCAGAAGUUCUUAGUAAAGAUCAAUAACGAACAAACAGAUACGAUGUAUCUUCACCUCACCCGCUCUUUAUUAAUCCCGUUAACCUUAGGAUAAAAAAUUUCUUGAUUUUGCAGAAAAAAAUGUAAGCCACUAGACAGCUCAGUCCUUGGGAAGUACUCUAAGUUCAAGAGAGAUCAAAGCCACUACACAGCUUCAUGAUUAUGCCUAAAACUUCGACUAUC